GAAGUUGUUUUAAUGUUAUUCAAGCAGGAAAUCUAACGAUGAGAUGAGACUGAGCUCUCUUUCUUGAAAGUCGACUUUGAUACUUUUUUUUUGUUACUCGAUACUCCACGUUGUGCCUUUUUACAGAGUUUUAAUUGGAGGGGCAGGUGUUUAAAACUGACAACUUGCACUUGUGCUAUGUACUUUAUACAGUAUACAAGUGAAACGGUGUGUGUGUCUGAGUGUGUUUGUGCUCUGUCUGCUGCUCACUUCUUACAGAGCCUAACAGGGGUGUCAAACUCUUUUUUUGUCGGAAACCGAAUAAACGUUUCAUCAUCACAUCGUAUUAUUACUUGCUCACACGCACACACAUAAAAAAGAUGGCUGACUAGUUUAAAAACAUGUUUAUUGAACAUAUUUAGAACAUACAAUACAAUAACAGAUUGACAAAAGUGAAGGCUAGUAAAAAUUAUAAAAGGAUUUUUUAAAAAAUCAGUCAACUAUUUGUUUGUUCAAUAAUUGUUGCAGUGAGUGUAACCAGGGGAACAACAAUUUUGCAAAAUCUCAUUAUUUAUUACACAUGACAAUGUCGCAUUUCCGUCCAGAUUUUAGCAAGCAUCAUCGAAGUUAACACCCACGAUUUUCUUUCGGGGGCCACAUAAAAUGAUUUUGACACCUGUAGCCUAGAAGAUGAUGAUGCUCAUCCACGGAGCCCCACAGACAUGACGUGGUUGGGUACUUUUUGAAAGCAAAUCAUUUAUGGCCACAAUUUUGAUACAAAGUGGGCACCAAAUUCUCAUUUGCGGUCACAAAAUACUCAUCUGUAACCUAGAGCUUGACAUAAAGUGGGCACAAAACACAUUUGUGGCCACAAAAAAAGCUGUGGCUUCAUACUGGAUAGUUGGAAAAACACAGUGAGAGAUCCUUAUAUAAGAUAGAAAGAUAUAGAAAUGUUGAGGUGGAGGUAGAGGCCCGGGCUAAAAACUUGGAGCCAUUGUAGUAAAAUUGAAUUUCCUUUUGAAACACUUGCCAUUGACAACAAAAUAAGGAAAAACCCUUGCCACACGGCAUUCCAUUUUUUCUCAAAGGUGAACACCAUUUGCCCCUGUUGUCUAUGGUCAUGAUGAUAACGGUCCAAAUCAGCAUUUUCUGUGCAUGUCAUAACUACAGUACAUUGCAGCCACUAAAUUAAAGAACCAAAAAAACUCAAGUCAUGUCUGGAGCUUGGUUCUCUAUUUGUGUAGAGUUGUUCUUGUUUUCAACGAAAACAGAAACAUGAGUGAAAGACAAAGGCACAACUAUUGACAGUGAGCAAAUAUAAUUGCAGAUCAUUUUUAUAAGUCCAUGUGAUCAAAAGCAAAACAUUAUCAUAUGACCCAGAAGGGGUUCCAGUUCCAUUUUGUUGUUCUUUGUCAAUGGCCAAUGGAAAAAACAGAUUUUCAAAAUAUAUUUUUUUCUCCAUCCUCCUGAUUGAAUUACAAUUAAGAUGGUAUUUGAGCAAACUUUUCUGGAAAAUGACACUUCUCAAGCAGCACCAAAUCUCACUCCAUCACGCCCGUUUCUCAAAUCUUGCGACAUCAUCUUGUUGAAUUUUGUCAAUUCAUUUUAGUUUUUUUGUUUUUUUUUUGCCGUGGUGAUGCAACCCACAUUUCUGCAUAAAUGUGCAAUAGUGAAUCACUGGCCUAUACUUGCAGUUAAAAACUCAUCAUUGUCAUAAAACAUCCCACCUGUCAUAUUUUAUACGUGGUAGUAUCCUUCCCUGGUAGAGCAGUUAAA